UACGUAGGGACCAAGCGUUGUUCGGAUUUACUGGGCGUAAAGGGCGCGUAGGCGGCAUGACAAGUCACUUGUGAAAUCUCCGGGCUUAACUCGGAACGGCCAAGUGAUACUGUCGCGCUAGAGUGCGGAAGGGGCAAUCAGAAUUCUUGGUGUAGCGGUGAAAUGCGUAGAUAUCAAGAGGAACACCAAUGGCGAAGGCAGCUCGCUGGAACGGUACUGACGCUGAGGCGCGAAAGCGUGGGGAGCAAACAGG
rnacentral:rRNA from 1 species